rnacentral:rRNA from 1 species
CGCCUGGGGAGUACGGCCGCAAGGUUAAAACUCAAAUGAAUUGACGGGGGCCCGCACAAGCGGCGGAGCAUGUGGUUUAAUUCGACGCAACGCGAAGAACCUUACCUGGCCUUGACAUCCAGAGAACUUUCCAGAGAUGGAUUGGUGCCUUCGGGAACUCUGAGACAGGUGCUGCAUGGCCGUCGUCAGCUCGUGUCGUGAGAUGUUGGGUUAAGUCCCGUAACGAGCGCAACCCCUAUCCCUGGUUGCUAGCAGGUAAUGCAGAGAACUCCAGGGAGACUGCCGGUGACAAACCGGAGGAAGGUGGGGAUGACGUCAGGUCAUCAUGGCCCUUACGGCCAGGGCUACACACGUGCUACAAUGGCGCGUACAGAGGGCUGCCAACUCGCGAGAGUGAGCCAAUCCCUUAAAACGCGUCGUAGUCCGGAUCGGAGUCUGCAACUCGACUCCGUGAAGUCGGAAUCGCUAGUAAUCGCGAAUCAGAAUGUCGCGGUGAAUACGAUCCCGGGCCUUGUACACACCGCCCGUCACACCAUGGGAGUGGAUUGCACCAGAAGUAGUUAGUCUAACCUUCGGGAGGACGAUUACCACGGUGUGGUUCAUGACUGGGGUGAAGUCGUAACAAGGUAACCGUA